UACGAAGGGGGCUAGCGUUGCUCGGAAUCACUGGGCGUAAAGGGUGCGUAGGCGGGUCUUUAAGUCAGGGGUGAAAUCCUGGAGCUCAACUCCAGAACUGCCUUUGAUACUGAAGAUCUUGAGUUCGGGAGAGGUGAGUGAAACUGCGAGUGUAGAGGUGAAAUUCGUAGAUAUUCGCAAGAACACCAGUGGCGAAGGCGGCUCACUGGCCCGAUACUGACGCUGAGGCACGAAAGCGUGGGGAGCAAACAGGA
rnacentral:rRNA from 1 species